AGGUGGCAUGGGAGCCUUGAGGCUUCUAUAAAAGGCGCCUCAAGGCUCCGAGUUUAACGUAAGUCCCCAUCCUUUGAUGGGCAAGAGAUGGAUCAGCCAAACUGGCUCUUGCAUUAGUGGAGCCGGAAACGGCUUGGUUCCAAAGUAAUUUUUUUUCUUUUGUAAAUACUCUCUAGGACACCGUCCCCUCCGUCGACGACGACAAUAGGAAUGCUUGGCGAUUUCUUUACUUCAGCUGGGAGAGCGUCAGAGCCAAGUUGUAGGUAUUAUGAGGAUAAGUUCCCUUCAAAAACACCUUAGGAAAUGGAAGAGAUACUGAAAGAUGUUGUUAUGAAAUACAUCCUUUGUGGUACACUCUGUAUUAUUGCUUUUUCAUGUAGUAGCAGAACUAACUGCCCUCGGUGCAGAACUUGCAUAAUUUUGCUUGGAGUUGUGAAGAAAUAAAGAAUGAAAAGGUAUGUACUGUUUUUUUUCUGAAUAUUCUGUGUGGCUCUUCUAAUCUGGAAUAUAUCUAGUGUAGUAAAUAGGUUGUUAUAAAAAGUAGCCUGAGAAAUAGGGCACUCUGACUAGGUGAGUUAAACUAAUUUAACAGUAAUUUUAUAAUGUAGUAUUUAAAUUAUUCUUUGCAGUACUUACCAUCCCCACCUAAUGCAAAGGAAAGACCUCAUAGCAAACUCUGAGCAAUAAAGGCAAAGUACUUAAAUCUUAGCAUUUAAAGAUAGAACUAACACUAUAGCUUUCUUUAUCUUAGCAUUUAACGAUAGAACUAACACUAUAGCUUUAGUUAAUGUUAUUAGUCCCAUUUUCUUAAGUAAUAUUAGACUACUUUAAAUUAUUCUGACUUUGCCUCUUUGCCUUUGUUAGAUAAUUUUAAAAAUGUGUUGUGGCAUUUGAUCUUUUUGCAUUUAGGUUAAAAAUUUAAGGUGUUUGUUAUUUUCUUAAGGACCGUAGUUUUUUUUUUUUUAAGGUAUGUAAUUUUUGUGCUUAAGGUGAAUGAUUUUUGUACUGUGUAGCUUAAUGUGUUGAAAACUUAAGUGGGUGGAUCUAAAGUUUUAGGAGGUGUGAUUGUUUUUUCUUAAGUUGCGUGGUUUGAGUGAUUAAAGUGAGUCAAUUGUUAAAAAACUUAAGUUGUGUAGGUUUAAAGGUUUAGGUGCGUGAUUGGUAUGCUUAAGGUGCGUGAUUAAGUUGUGUAGGUUUAAAGAUUUAGGUGCGUGAUUGGUAUGCUUAAGGUGUGUCACUUUAAAACUUUAGUUGUGUGGUUUAUGCUUGCAUUUGUUUAGUUAAGCGCAAAAUUGCUCGGGUGUAGGUUCUUGCACCAGAAUUCAUAGGAUAUGAUUAAUAGAUAAUGUGGCAAUUUGGCCUUUUGCAUUUAGGCAAAUUUUAAGGUGUUUAAUUUUCUUCUUAAAGAGCGUAGUUUCUUUUUAAGGUAUAUGAUUUUUGUGUUUAAAGAAAACUUAAGUGGAUGGAUCUAACGCUUUAGGUGGUGUGAUUGUUUUCUUAAGGUGUGUGGUUUGAGUGCUUAAGUCAAUUGCUAAAAAUUUAAGUUGUGUCUGUUAAAGAUUUAGGUGCGUGAUUUUCCUUCUUAAAGUGCGUUCGUAAUUGAAACUUUAGGUAUGUCACUCUAAAACUUUAGAACUUUAGAUGUAAUUGUUAAAAACUUAAGCAGUGUCCGUUUAAAGAUUUAGGUGUGUGAUUUUCCUUCUUAAAGGUGCUUGAUUGGUAUGCUUAAGGUGCCUUCGUAAUUGAAACUUAAGGUGUGUCAUUGUAAAACUUUAGAUGUGUGGUUUGUAUGUUUAAGGUGCGUGAGCGUUGAACCUUAAAGUUAGUGAUCUUAAAGCUUUAAGGUGCGUGAG